rnacentral:rRNA from 1 species
UACGAAGGGGGCUAGCGUUGUUCGGAAUCACUGGACGUAAAGCGCACGUAGGCGGAUCUUUAAGUCAGGGGUGAAAUCCCGAGGCUCAACCUCGGAACUGCCUUUGAUACUGGGGAUCUCGAGUCCGGGAGAGGUGAGUGGAACUGCGAGUGUAGAGGUGAAAUUCGUAGAUAUUCGCAGGAACACCAGUGGCGAAGGCGGCUCACUGGCCCGGAACUGACGCUGAGGUGCGAAAGCGUGGGGAGCAAACAGGG